AUGGCUAAGUAUGUCUAAGGUGUCCUACGUAUGGCUAAGUAUGGCUAAGAUGUCCCACGUAUGGCUAAGUAUGGCUAA